UACGUAGGGUGCAAGCGUUGUCCGGAAUUAUUGGGCGUAAAGAGCUCGUAGGCGGUUUGUCGCGUCUGCUGUGAAAACCCGAGGCUCAACCUCGGGCCUGCAGUGGGUACGGGCAGACUAGAGUGCGGUAGGGGAGAUUGGAAUUCCUGGUGUAGCGGUGGAAUGCGUAGAUAUCAGGAGGAACACCAAUGGCGAAGGCGGCAUCCUGGACCAACACUGACACUGAGGAGCGAAAGCCAGGGGAGCAAACGGG
rnacentral:rRNA from 1 species